UGAUGAUACUGGACUGAACCUCUGAACCGAUACAAUGUGACCAGUCGCCUCCACUCCUGCUAUGUCCUCUCUGCCUUGAAGCGACACAGAUACAAUGUGACCAGUCGCCUCCACUCCUGCUAUGUCCUCUCUGCCUUGAAGCGCUGAAUCUCCUCACACUGUAACCCACAACCAAACCUCCCUCCCUUAAAUUUCUUCUUGUCAGAUUGCAUGGUCCAACGAUGGAGAAACUGGGAACGCAGUGACUCUCCCAUUCCACGAGAAUGUAGACUGUCCCUGUAUGGUCCCAAAAGCCUGGAGAUUUCCUGGAGAAAUCCUUCAUCUCCCGUCUACAUCGGAAGGAUGAAGAAGAUCCAAUCAAGACAGCCAAGAUGAAGUACUGAAAUCCCGACCUGGAUUCUUUGCCUGCAGGAGGAGUGCAGAGAUCAGGGCCCUGCAGGGACGGUGGCUGGACAUGAAAUCAAGCAAGGAGAAAGGGUGGCUCCAAGUUUCCCAGCACCGGUACCCCUGAGAGAGCUUGCAGGCCCAUGUGGAACCAGGAGAAGUGGAAUCCAGGCAGGGCAUCCAGAUUGUGGUAGAAAUGUGGAGAUGUGCUCAGCUGGAGCCUGGGCCUGAUGGGAGGCUGGGAAGUCGUUGAAGAUCUCCUGAUAGUUGGACACAGCCAGAUCACUCCAGCUCCAGGAAUUACUUAAAAGUCUCACCUGCCCAGCACGUCUUUCUGCCUCUGUGAAAGAUGGAAUGAGACCCAGCGAGUGUUCUGAGUGACUUGAUCCAAAAGCUGCAUGUGGUUGACCAGAUGGAUGUCCCUCUCGACUUCAGGUUUCCACUCAACUAAAGCACAAAUGGUUUAUCUUUAAGGAACCAUGUAUUUUCCACUUCUGUGGCAGAGGACAAAAUGUGAAUAAUUUCUAGCGUCCCUCUGUGCAGCAUGAUUGCUGGCACCUUCCAAAGCCCUGAGGACUAGGGACCCUCCCUCAGGUGCAACUAAGGCAUGAACCCUACAAACCCUCUUAGUUAAAGAAGAAGAGCAAACAAAUAUUCAUGAACUCCUCCACUCUUCGGCUGGAAAUGUAGCUCAGUUGGGUUCUUGCCUAGCAGACAUGAAUCCCUAGGCACCACGUAAGACAGACAUGGUGGAGACUACCUGCAAUCCCAUGGCUCAGCAGAUAGAGGUAGCUUUCCUUCUCUUCACUGAUACUUAAAGCUAACACUCACCACUGGUCUCCUAUAAGUGGCAAGUAAACACUGUCAAAAUCUUCUAUUCUCUAAUCACCUAUUGUGUAACUAAGCUGAAGGUGGUUUAUUUUAUUGGCAAAAAUAAAAAUUGAAUGCAAAAUGAUUUUAAGAGUAUAACAAGAAUCAUCAAAAGUGUGUGCACUUGACAUCU